CCUACGGGUGGCACCAGUGGGGAAUAUUGCACAAUGGGCGCAAGCCUGAUGCAGCCAUGCCGCGUGUAUGAAGAAGGCCUUCGGGUUGUAAAGUACUUUCAGCGGGGAGGAAGGUGUUGUGGUUAAUAACCACAGCAAUUGACGUUACCCGCAGAAGAAGCACCGGCUAACUCCGUGCCAGCAGCCGCGGUAAUACGGAGGGCGCAAGCGUUAAUCGGAAUUACUGGGCGUAAAGCGCAUGCAGGCGGUCUGUUAAGCAAGAUGUGAAAGCCCGGGGCUCAACCUCGGAACAGCAUUUUGAACUGGCAGACUAGAGUCUUGUAGAGGGGGGUAGAAUUUCAGGUGUAGCGGUGAAAUGCGUAGAGAUCUGAAGGAAUACCGGUGGCGAAGGCGGCCCCCUGGACAAAGACUGACGCUCAGAUGCGAAAGCGUGGGGAGCAAACAGGAUUAGAUACCCGGGUAGUC
rnacentral:rRNA from 1 species